UGCACUUUCUCAGGAUAGAUGGCAGUAGGAGAUAAAUUCUCAUUGUCCUAUUGUGGAGUUAAAUUGCAUGUGACUGAAACCUAACCUACAUACAAAGUACACUGAAAAUGGAGUGAGGUGGGGGAACUUGAUUCUGUAUUCUCUGUAAGUCAGUGGAUACUUCCUACUGUGGGAGGAUGUGCUUGACCUAAAGCAGCUCUUUAAAAUACUUGAUGCAUUCAGACUCCUUGUUUGAAAAGUACAUUUAGCUUCUUAUCCACUACAGCUUAUCUGGAAAUAAAUGCGAAUAUUCCAUGAUCUCAGGAUCACCAAGUGAUCUGCAUUGAGUUUAAACUUUACUUUAAACAGCAGCAGUAACUUGUUUGCAAGGGAGUUCUUGAAUAUUGCCACAUCCUUUCAGUUUUUUGAAGUUGUUUCACCUCUAAUGUGACUGUUUUUACCUACUGCAUGGGAUUGAGGUAAACUGCGUAUAAUUGAGACUUAAAAUUAGAUACAGAAACCCAUAUCAGUUUUUCUAUGAGGAAACAAGUUCUAGGACAAGAAAACUGCUUUAGUUUACCUAAUUAAUUUAAUUCCUUCAGGCAUAGAGAUGAGGAGAGAGGUGAAAAGCUGCAUAAUGAGCAGGGAAUGUUUGUUUUGAGACACAUCAAUGAGUCUUUCAUUUGUUCAUGAAUUCUGAUUGCUCUGAAAAGUCAUCCUUUUUAGGUGUUCCCACUCUUUAAUCCAGAACGCUCACAGAAAUUCAGUCCUCAGGCCCCAGUUGGGUAUACUGGACCUAAAGUAGUACACCAGCAGUGGUUGAGAGCAAUCACUCAUCUGAAUAACUAAGUGGUAAAGUGUCUGAUUUUACCUUUUUUUUAUUAUUUCUCAUUUCAAUAUUGUCCCAUAUUGAAUGUAAUGAACAAUAAUUCUUUGGAGAGUCAGUCCAUUCUUGUUCUUUUAAGUUCUAUCUUUUGUAAAUGAUAUGCUGCCAGCAGCAUUUCUUAGAGAUUUUUUUUCCAUAUUCUACUUACAGCUGCCUAUUAUGCAUUAAAUAUAUGCAUGUAAGCCUACAUGCAGUGCCUUAAGGGGAAGAAACACCUUGUAACUGUACUGUGACUUAGUUAUGAAAAUAAGCUGACAUCAGUCACAGUUGGCCAAAAUUUACAGGACUACCAAAUGGUAAUACAAACAAUUACAGGAACAGUAAGCGUGUUUCCUCAAACAGUUUAACAGGUUCAAUGAAAAUAUAACAUUUUGAAAAUAAAAACAGAGAGGCAGUUGCCAGACCUUAAUGCUACAAAUAAUUUUGAACAAUGAAAGCAAAGUUAGUGGGCUUGUUCCUUAAGCAUAGGGUAAGAAGUUAAUUAAUGGUGCUGCUUGCUUUCUUUUUUAUAUCUAGAUAUUUACAAAAUUCUAGGUUAGCACUAGGUUUCUCUUCAAUCUUAUAAAUCCUUGAGGUUCAACAUAAUGGUAUUGACAGAAAAAUUUUCCAAAUAUAUGUGGGGAGAUGGAUUAGGUUUACAGUGUCACUGACUCUUCCACUGCAGUAGCAUGUCUUUCCUUCUUAGAUAAGGAUGACUUAGGACAAGACAAAAAGCAAGGAAUGCUUCCUUUAGGGAAGAGAAAAGGAGCAGGUGAACAGGUGAAAUAGCCAUCUUGACAGCAGAGAGGGACUUGGUGCUAAGUGCAUUGUGGUGAAGAAGGAAAUUAAUUGUUGUCUCCUUGCAGUAGAACUAUGAAGUGAUUUAAAACUGAUUUAAAUCAAAUAGUAUAAAGUUUUAGGUUGAAUGAGAAACAUGUUGAAAAAAGUGCUUUCUAAAAUGCACAUUUCUCCUUUUAAAGAACAUCUUUAGUUUUCUUCCUACCUAUCCUAAUUACUUAAUAAUGCAUGGAAGGAUGUAAGGGUAUAACUUUUGAAUAAUUCCUGGCUUGAUAUCAUUUGCUGUUGAGGAUUAGAGGUUAUACAGAGUUGAAUACAGCAAGAUCUUUAAAUGAGAUUCUAUAUCCUGUCUUCUCUGAAGAGUGAGGUGAGAUAAAAAUACUGUAUUUUAUAUAAUAUAUACUGUGAUGUGAAAAGCAGCAUUUCUUAGGAAGAAUCACACCAUGCAAAGUCUGUGUAGCAAAGUACAAGUUUCUGAUUUAUUGUAAAGUAAUAUUCUUUCAAUAUAAUAAUGGUUAAAAAGCUUUCCUGUUUGGAAUAUAUUUUUCAAAUAUGUUCUGAUUAAGCAUUUGCUUCUAAACAUGCCAUAUGCCCUGUGCAUCUCUCACAGUCACAGUGGAAGGCACUAAAUUGUUACCCAUUUUAUGCCCAACUGAGUGAGUUGUGUAGUUACUGUGAUGUCACGAUGUAUAAGACAAGAGUAGAUUAUUUGAUCAUUUAGUCUCUGAAUUCUUUGUGCCUGAUAGUGAGCAUCUCACUGGCUGAUACAGAUGGCUUAUUUUGAGGACAGUGUAAUUUUUCUGAAUGAUUAGUCCCACUGAUUGAACACAGUCAUGCUUAAAACUAUUUCACUUUUAACCUGAAAGUUUUUAUUAUGUCACUGUUAUCAUUAUCUUACUUUCUUGUCAUGAAGACAUCUCAUGCUAAUCAUCUCAACUUGAUUUUCUAUUGAUAAGCUAAGUUGGCUCACAUAUCCUUUUGAAAAAUGUUCAGAUUCUUUAGUUUUUGAAAACUUUUCUGGUCCAGAAAGCUGCUACUGAGUGCUGUCCUGCUUUUUAGUCCCUAGCUUGUUUUAUCUUCUUUAACUGUAAUACGUUGGGAUUUGAGGGGGAGCAAAAAAAAAAAAAAGAGGAGUUCCUGCCAUCAAAAAUACUGCCUUGUAUUUUAGUCCCACGUCCUGUAUUCCCUGUGGGUUUUCUUGGGGUUUUUAAUGUGGAACUUUGUGGAAAAACAUAAUUUUUGUUUGCCAUCCCCUUUUCUUAAUGGAACCAAUUAGCCAACCAAAGAAGAUUUGUUUUUUCUUACCACUUCAACCACUGACAUCCAGCUAUUUUGCUUUCGGUGAUAGGCAUCAGUGGGCUGAAGCUGAUGAGCAAAAUAGGGAGUAGCAUCAAGCCUUAAUACCACAGUUCUGGCAGAAUUCUGUUAAAACCAGAAAGAACUGCAAUUGUAAUACAAACCCUUUCUGGAACAAGACUAAGGUUUGGCUGUCAAGACUUCCAAGUAAUUUCAGCACUUGAAGCAGAGAAGUGGAAAUCAUUAAACACAAUUCUAAUUGGAGCACAUCAGAUAACGUACCUGACAGAAGUCUGUUACAUACACUGGGGCUUUAUGUUUAUUCACUUAGCUCAUCAGAGGACUCUUGAAAGAUACAGAUUAAUUACCUCUUUUUUAUUGGCACAAUCUCCCUUACCUGAGUUAGGUAUCUAACUAACCAGCUGUGAUCACAUACGUGCUUUAUUUUAGAAAGUCACCUUAUCACUCUUAUUUGUCUCUCUGUUAACUAUCAACAUCAGUGGUGCAGGAGCAUUUUAAGAUGGUUAGGACAGUAAUGUUUCAAUUCUCAUUUGUGUUCUUCACGCUCAUUAGUGAGAAAAUUUGGAAUUUCAUUUUUAUGCAAGUACUUUUUUUCCCCCCAGUAUGGAAGAGAAAGCUAUUCACUACUCUUUUUUCUGUUUUAUAAUGAAACAUUAAUACUGCUGUUCCACAAAAAGAACAAUAAGAAAUAACCAUGACUGACUUCCUGUUGUUGUCAGCCAUAUAUUUUUCCCUAAUGCUUUUUGUCAUUCAUCAGUGCAAGCUUAAAAUCCACUCCUCUUAUCAUGUUUAUGCUAAUGAACUCGAAGAAAAGCUUGAUUUUCAAAGAAUGGACAACUUGCCAUUCUAGCCAAAUAGAAUAAAUAUUUUAUUUGCAAAUUUUACAAAUUGGAUGUUUUGAUUAAACAGAAUUUCUCACAAUUAUAAUUUGCAGAAUUAUUCUUUUCAGGUAGAAUCACAUUUAAGGUACUGCAAUAAGAUUUUUACUUUUUUUUUAAAAAAGUAUUUCUAAAUUCAAAUAUCACUCUUUAAAAUGUAUUUUCAUUGGAGACUAUGUAACUGGGUAGUCUUAAGAUGAGUCACCUUUUGCUUCUAUAGCUGUCAUGGAAACUGGUGAGAUUGAAACAUUAAAAAAAAAGGGAAAGGUAGCGGUACUUUAAAAUUCAUAUACAUCAUACCUGUAGAAUAGUUUCUCUUAGUAAGAACUAAGAACUUACUGUUAAUUAAUAGAGGACAGCCUUUGCAAAAACACAGACAAAUGCUAGUGCAUCUCACUGAUCUUGAGUCUUGUGUAUUCACAGCAACUCUUGCCUACUGCAACACUCCUAUUGCUGCAGUGAGAGUUGAUGCACAAUGCAAAAAACUUUAAUUAUGUUUUUGCAUUUAUCUGGGAAAAUUGCAUGUUCAAAUCUUAACAAACAGCCCCAAAUCCUACAGGAUUGUUCCCUAUUAAAGGGGACUCACAGCUGACUUGACCCUGAAGUUGAAUGUGUGCAAAUACAAUUCUAGUGUCUAGGUGGAUCUGUUGCUGAUUUUCUCUUCAGGGGGCUUUCUGUGCCUCAUAAUCUAAGCAGUUGCUUUAACAUGAACUUCAUCAGAUAUCCUUGUGUCUUAAUUCUUAGUUCUUUGUUUAAAUGUCUGGUACUUGGGUAUAAAAUGCCAAACUUGACACAGCAUGGGACAACUGCAGGAGUACACGUUGAGACCUUGACUCCAUGAACUGAUUUUAUACUCAUCAUUGCAGUUCAGCAGCCACUGUUCUUUGGGUUUUCCAUCUAUUUUUACCUCUAUUUUAAAUAAGAUUUUAAAUGAGAUUUUGUUAAAUCCAGAUAUUACUUGUAAAAGUGGAUUGGGGCUUUUUGUUUUUAACAAAGCUUUCAGAAUCAUAGGCCAUACUUUGAGUCACGGUAAAUGUACAUUUUAAAAUAGAAAACUCCUCAAAAGAUUAAAAAAAAAAAAAAAAGAAAAAAAUCACAAUUACAGGCUUUGAAACAUUACAGUCAAUCUCUUCAGACAUGUGAAGAGAUUUAAGAGCACAAAUUACUUUUCCUCAGAAGCAAAAAAUCCACAGAACAACAAGCUUUCCUUGCUAUAUUUUAAUUUUUCAAACUCAGACAUUAGUAUCUGUACUUUACAUUAGCUCAGAUGUUAAGGCUGUUGCUGUGUUUUUAGUGAUAGAACUUUAUGUGAAGUCACAUAAAUGAAUCUUAAUCUGGAAAAUAAUCCUGUUUAGAUUUAAUUAUUUCUGUGUAUUCAGAAAAUAAAAAAGGGCUGCUGUUCACAGUUCUUUGUCAGCUAACACUGCUUUUAAGAUCAGCAAAAGUGUACAGUGCUUUCUAGUCAUCUUUCAUUUGUCCAAGCUUUAAGUAAUCUAUUACUGUACAACAUAUGAGAGUAUAGAAUUAAAUUUCAUGCCUUUCUUUUUAAUGUUUGUUAAUCAGCUUUACUUGGAAUUCAGUUUUGAUGGAUCCAUUUCAAAUACUGCUCUAAUUGAGUAUAACCAUCUAUUAUUAAAAUACACAUCUGAAAAUCAGACACCUCUGAGGAUCAUCAAGAGGGCAGAAAUUUCAAGUGCUCAUUAAUGAAGACCUGUUCCUUUUGCCUUGCCCUCCGUAAAACCAGACCCUUUUUAGUCAGUGGUAUUCAAAUCUAUAUGCUGUGACAGCACUACCCUCUCAACCUAGGAAAGAAUUUCCAGAUGGUGCCAGAUCUUCAAGAUGGGAAAAUACAUUUAAGAGACAGCUUUGGAAACAUACACUGACACUUAAGAUAUAGGGGGGAAAGUAGUUUUGUGAUAUUAGUUAGAACUCUUUAAAAUUUAUAUUACGCACUUCUACUACUAGGUUUCACUGUGGGUGCCAAAGAGCAUUUCUAUAGUGACUGCUUAGGAAUAGUAGGAAAAGGGAAGGCAAGACUCAGGUUCUGAUCUGUCUUAGGACUCAUGCUGGUCUCUAAUAGUUCUCACUAAUUCUGCUGCAGUUUUAAAAUAUGCUUGGGUUUUUUAUCUGCUAUCUGUUUGUAACCACACUAAUACAGUGAUGAGCUCUCUCAGAUAAGACUUAUUAUUCAUCAGAAUGACUUCUUAAACGCAUCUGUAUAUGAGCUAAUAAAAUGUUGAGAUACUGUCUAAACUGUUCAAUCAGUUUUUAAUAAAGCUGUAGAUUUCAGUUAAAACAGAACUGUUAAUAAAUACAGAAUACAGUAGACCAAGUUAUACUUUCCUCUUAAUUAUACUGACUUCUUACUAAUCCAGAUGAAACAUUUGCAGUGCUUCAUUUUCAUCUGUUUUUAGUAAUCAUCAUAAAUGUAUCCAUAUGCAUAAUUGUGCUGCUGUAGCUUUUUUUUCUCAAUAAUUAGCUACACCAUAUGUUUCCCAUGUCAUUAUCUGAAUCAACAUCUAAAGUAUGCUUAAUUUUUUACAGUAGCACUUGGACUCUCAUUCAGGAUAAGUGGAAACCAUUCAAUUAUAGUAAGAGCUGUCAUGUGUCUCCUCAACACAUUUUUAAGGUAUUGUUUUAGGGUGGUCUUUUAAAGGACUUUUUAUACUUUAAGAAUCUCAAGAAUUGGUUUGGAAAAGUAGGUGUAGAUACAGGAGAGUUGAUGGAUCCAGAUUUUAGUUUCUUCUAUUUUAUUCAUCUGUAUCUGUGCAGAGAUUCAGAUCUGCCUCCAAUUCUGUUUAUUUUUCUCCUUCCUCUACUCCUUAUCUUUAGGUGAAAGAUAUAUGUUAUAUACUAAUAACAACCUCUUCAGUGAGUUUUAAUCAGUUUUUCUUCUUU